UACCUGAAAAAAUAUUGGUAUUAUUUUGCCAUCCAAAGCAGGUGAAGUGAAUAUUUAUGAGUUUGAAAGCUGCGCCUCACCAAAUUUGUAUUGAAAACUAUUUCAACACUAAUUUUCAACGCUUUUUGUACACAUUGAAUUUGUGCCAUUUUUUAUUUUCUUUAAUAUUUAACGAAAGAAGGCUAAUAAUCUUUAAAUAAGGCACGCACGCAUUUUUUUAAUACUACUUUUUUUUACAUAUUUUUUUCAAAUUAAAGAACACAAACUGCAUGAUUUCUAACAUAAACAACUAUUAAAUCUAUCUUUAAAGUAUUUUCAAAUAUAAUUUCAUAUUUAUAUAAAGAACGUAAAGAACUUUAUGAUGUAGUAAGUUACGUAAUAUAUGAUAUCCGACAUGUUUGAAAAUGGAACUGAGAAGCGGAAUAAAUAAGAUUUAAAUAACAUAAGAACAAUGAAUGUUUAUAUUAAAAAUAUCCCAUUGUCUAUGUUUCUAUUGUGUGAUGUUAAAUUGCGCCGUUUAAUCAGUCUUAAUUCGGAUAAAGGUGGGAUUGAAUCUGUGGGAUUCCUCCACUAGCACUAGCUCAGCUCUAUGUAAAAUUCGGGGAUUCGCCAUCCCAUGCUCGCGAUCUUUUAAUAAAUAAUCCAUGUUCUUUAUCAUAUCAUAUUUAUUGCUUUUUACUUUCGAUGGAGUGACACCAGCAAAUUCCCCACCAGGUGCCACUCAAGCUAGCUACGCAAUGUAAUGGAGUCUCCAAAAAUAUCUGAGUGGUUUCCCUAUAUAAAUUUUAUAACGAAAUAAAAUAAUUAUAAUGUAUUAAUAAGUAUUUUGUUUAAUUAGUAAUGAUCACAUAAAUUUGCUAAUGUAUUUAUAAGUACUAUAUCUAGAAACUAGAUGAAAUAAACCUCUGUUGUGAAAAUACAUUUUUCAGGAAAGAAACAACCAACCCCAAUGAAAUAGCAGUUUUAAUAAGACUACAUACCUCCAAUACUUCAGGUGCUGGUACAUUUUCAGCAAGCUUUUCAAGGGCCCAGCUCACAAUAUCGCUGGAAGUUCUUCCUCCAUUAUAGUCUUCUACACUGUCACUUGUCUUCUUACCACCAGCGAAGAACUUGAUGGUCGGGUAUCCUUGCACUUGGUAGCGAGAAGCCAUCAUUUGGUGAACUGUGGCAUCAACGGCCCCGAGUUUUACCUGCAUUUGUUGUAUCACAAUUAUAAUUCUAUACAUUUUAUUAAUUUAUUACAUUUUAUUUUGACUAGAGAUGCUGUGACAUAAUCACAAUUAAACAACAAAUGCCUUGUUUCAUCUCACAUUUUAUAUUGUUAGCUGUCUGUCAUAAUAGCUUGAAAGAAAAUUAAAAAAAAGUAUUAUAGCAUAUGAUAUAAGGUUACUUUGAAACAUUUGAAAUUUUACAUAGGUUAUCUGGAAAUUUUCGGAAAAACAACAUAGUCACAAUUAAUACAAAGUUGUCAAGGAGGCAUUUCUGUCAACCAAUUGAAAAUAGAUAACUAGUAGGCUAAGAAUACUGAAACGUUAAAUGAACUACAUCAAUUUACCUUUCCUUUAAGCUCGGUUGCGGCCUUUGCCCAGUGGGGUUCCAGAUUCUUGCAAUGUCCACACCACGGAGCAUAGAACUCAACAAGCCACAUGUCUUCACUAUCGAGAACCAUCUCCUUGAAAUUGCUGUCUGUUAAAGUGAUAACAUCCGACUGAAAUAGAACGAUGUAUUAAAUAUAAUAUUGAACUGCGAGGUUGAUUAAGCCAAGUAUUUGAUAUUAAUUUUAAAAUAUUAUUUUUUAAUCAAACUUAAUGGGAUAUUAGGAAAGUAUUACUUUCAAUAUAAGAUAUAUAAAAAUGUAUAUUUUUGUAUGAGACUAAUACUAAACAUUCUUUUGUAUUCUUUAAUAGAUUUGAUUUGAAUGCUUCUGUUAAUUAAUUAAUGUUAAUAUUUCAAUUUUACUUCAUAUAACUAGAGAUAAGUUAUUAGCAUUCUGUGUCUUUUCCGAAUUUGAUAAUUGUUAUGGAAUUUACAAAGGCUGAUUUAAAUAAGUGCAAUCUGAUAUACUAUGCUUCGGGUAGACCUGUUUUUUGAUAAGAAAUUGUUGUUUACAUUUUAACUUUACUUAACCAUGGUUAACUUUUAGGUAAUCAAUUAUGAUCCAAGCCAUAUUAUCAUGCUUGUUAUAAUAUUAGCUUUGUAAAUUUAUCAAGUAAUUAUUUUUAGAGAUAAAGUGUCAUUGCCCUGCCCACUUCCUACAUUUUUACAUUGAUUUUUAGUUAAUAUAAUAAUUAAAAUAAAUGGUGAUGGAUUAAAAUAGA